rnacentral:rRNA from 1 species
GAUGAACGCUGGCGGCGUGCCUAAUACAUGCAAGUCGAGCGAACGGACGAGAAGCUUGCUUCUCUGAUGUUAGCGGCGGACGGGUGAGUAACACGUGGAUAACCUACCUAUAAGACUGGGAUAACUUCGGGAAACCGGAGCUAAUACCGGAUGAUAUUUUGAACCGCAUGGUUCAAAAGUGAAAGACGGUCUUGCUGUCACUUAUAGAUGGAUCCGCGCUGCAUUAGCUAGUUGGUAAGGUAACGGCUUACCAAGGCAACGAUGCAUAGCCGACCUGAGAGGGUGAUCGGCCACACUGGAACUGAGACACGGUCCAGACUCCUACGGGAGGCAGCAGUAGGGAAUCUUCCGCAAUGGGCGAAAGCAUGACGGAGCAACGCCGCCUGAGUGAUGAAGGUCUUCGGAUCGUAAAACUCUGUUAUUAGGGAAGAACAUAUGUGUAAGUAACUGUGCACAUCUUGACGGUACCUAAUCAGAAAGCCACGGCUAACUACGUG